rnacentral:rRNA from 1 species
AACGCGAAGAACCUUACCUGGGCUCGAAAUGUAGAUCGAUAUGUCAGAGAUGACAUAGCUCGAAAGGGGAUCUAUAUAGGUGCUGCAUGGCUGUCGUCAGCUCGUGCCGUGAGGUGUUGGGUUAAGUCCCGCAACGAGCGCAACCCUUAUUGUUAGUUGCCAACACGUGAAGGUGGGAACUCUAACGAGACUGCCUGGGUUAACCAGGAGGAAGGUGAGGAUGACGUCAAGUCCGCAUGGCCUUUAUGUCCAGGGCUACACACGUGCUACAAUGGUUGGUACAGAAGGGAGCGAAGCCGCGAGGUGGAGCAAAUCCCGAAAGCCAAUCUCAGUUCAGAUUGCAGUCUGCAACUCGGCUGCAUGAAGUUGGAAUUGCUAGUAAUGGCGUGUCAGCAACAGCGCCGUGAAUACGUUCCCGGGCCUUGUA